UGCCAGCCGCCGCGGUAAUACGUAGGGUGCGAGCGUUAAUCGGAAUUACUGGGCGUAAAGCGUGCGCAGGCAGUUUUGUAAGUCAGAUGUGAAAUCCCCGGGCUUAACCUGGGAACUGCGUUUGAAACUACAAGGCUAGAGUGUGGCAGAGGGGGGUGGAAUUCCGCGUGUAGCAGUGAAAUGCGUAGAGAUGUGGAGGAACACCGAUGGCGAAGGCGGCUUUCUGGACCAAUACUGACGCUCAGGCACGAAAGCAUGGGGAGCAAACAGGAUUAGAUA
rnacentral:rRNA from 1 species